GCUGAGCACCAAGUUCCUAGAGACAAGACCUCACCCAGAUCUUCCCAGUGUCCAGGCAGAGCCUCACUACACGUGUGGGGAGAGGAGAAGGCCACCUGUGCCACAGGAUAAGAGCAGAUGAUUCUCUGGCUGGAGAGAUAGCUCAGCGGCUGAGAGCACUGACUGCUCUUCCAGAGGUCCUGAGUUCAAAUCCUAGCAUGGUAGCUCACAACCAUUUAUCUGUAAUGAGAUCUGAU
rnacentral:lncRNA from 1 species